AAACAUAGCGAGCAACAGCAAGAACAAGCGCAGGAAUAUAUCCAUCCAUAUACAGCAGCGAGCAUACCUUCCUUGCCUUUCUCCGUGAGGUCCAUUGCAAUCCAGAAACCUUCAAGUAUGGGCAGAUCUGCAAUUUCUCAGGCCCUUCCGGUGCACCAGGAAGACGAGGACCUGUUCGAGACCUCCUCCUCCUUCUCCUGCGACUCCGACGACGAGGCCCAGUUCUCCGACGGCGAGGACCAGUUUGUGCCGGCUUCCCCGCCGGUGCGGAGACUGAAUUCUGACAGCGUCUACGAUCUGUCGUCCAUGAAAGCAGAGCUCUCUGUCAAGUAAGUCUCCGAGGAACUUGAUGCCUUCCUUCAUAAGUUCAUCACACCGUCACAUAUAUGUGCAGCAGCAAAAGGGGAGUUUUUCCUGACCGUGCGGUUCUUCUCUUUGCAGGAAAGGAGGGUUGUCCAAGUACUACGACGGAAAGUCCCAGUCGUUCGCGUGCAUGUCCGAGGUGAGGUGCCUGGAGGACCUGCCCAAGAAGAGCCCCUACAAGAAGAUCAAGUCGUGCAGGAGCAACAUCGAUCUGGACGGGAACCAGAAAGCCUGCCCCGUACCUGGUUCUCACAACAGCAAAGGAAUGGCCAAGCCCUCUGGAAGCUCUUGCGCGAAUCUGAUGGCCCGGAAUAACAGCGCAAACAUGCUCUACAGGCCUCCCGCGAUCCCUGUCAACAAGAGCGCGUGCCAUCAGUAGGGCUCGCGGCUGGAAAUGUCUGUCCACGGCUGGCCUCGCGCCUCUUCUUUGUUCCUUGAUGAGGAUUUUUCUUGGCGGGCGUAUUAGCCUGUCAAAUGUAAAGAGGCUUUUGAUUCUCUCAUGUUCAGGAAGAUAUUGAUUGAUUCGGUGUGUAAAUAGAGAGACCGGUUGUAUACCAAACAUUUUUUUUACUGCAGUGCCUGAUUAGCAAAAUUCUCUGAGAUCCGAAUUCUGAGAUCUUAUAACUAUCCUGGUUAUUCUGCUUUUGAAGAAAAAUGGGACAAAGGCAUAAGCCGUGCUCAUCCGGUCCAAGUCAUCGGUGUCCAAGCAAACCUAACUUGUGCAAUGUGGAGAUGUCCCAAUUGGAGUUGCAGAAAAGAGUCUAGUUUGCACAAGGUUAGGUCUUGACGCUCGUUACUCCAAGUGAACCGCCGAUUCUGCGAGUGAAUUUCCUUGACAAGGCGUCAUGGAAUAAGUUGAUGAUCCUUCUCCUAUCGAAGCUUGACUUAUUCUUGUCUCUCGCCCGGUAUAUCUGAUUGAAAUCACCGCAUACAAACCAACCCUCGCCGGGCUGCGGUAUAUUGGACCCCAAACGCCCUAAAAGCUUCCAGUUUGAGAAUUUAUGGAUUUAUAUACGUGGGUUCCAACAAUUGUCCGUGAGGCUUGGGAUGCCCCGUCUGAUGUCCUGUUCCAUAAGCUACACAAAACUGCCUUCAUGCAUGCUUAAGUGUUGGAGUAAGAGGUUGUUCUCGUCGGCAAAGAUCCGGCUUCACGUGGCGCUGCAGGUCAUCCUUUAUCUCGACACCGCUCAGGAUAAUCGGCCUCUCUCGCCCGAGGAGGCCGAUGUGCGAGCUAGACUCAAGAGGCGUGUUAUCGGCCUGGCCAUCAUAGUCCGAACUAGGAAAAAGCAAUGUGCCCGGGUUGAAAACCUCAAGGAAGGGGAUGCCAUUCACCUAAGAGUGAAUGCGGGAAGAAGGAAAAAAUUGCGAGAAGAAGGAAAACAAUUAUCCACCGACUGAAGGUUGGGUCACCUCACACGACGAAAAGAAAAAGGAGGCAGAUGAUCAUUUCAAGAAAAAUUUCCACAAAGCGUAGAGGCGGACUAAGGACUUCAACUGGGAGGCCCUUCACUUUGAGAACGGAUAUUUAUCCAGCCUUGGCGACAAUAUCAGCAAAGCCGAGGUGCUUGCCGCCAUUACCCAACUGCCCGGGGACAAGGCCCCUGGCCCCGACGGUUUCACCGGAUCCUUCUUCAAAUCUUGUUGGGAAAUCAUAAAAGGGGACAUGAUGAAUGCGAUCAAUUCCUUCUCAAACUUACAAGCGACAAACUUACGUUGGCUCAACGCGGCGAAUACAGUGUUACUAACCAAGAAGGAUGGCGUGGAAGAUAUUACAGACUUUGAUCCAAUCAGCUUGAUCCACUCUUUCGCAAAAAUCAUCACGAAGAUCAUGGUUAAUAGACUAGCUUCAUUCAUGAAUAAACUCGUUUCCAGAGCCCAGAGCGCUUUUAUCAAGACUAGAAGCAUACACGACAACUUUAUGUUUGUCACAGGCUUCAUCGGGCGCUUGCAUUGAUAUAGAACGCUGGCUCUUCUCCUCAAGCUAGAUAUCAAAAAGGCUUUCGACUCGAUUCGUUGGGACUACAUGCUCGACUUGCUGCAGCGUCGCGGCUUCCCUGCUAAAUUCCGAAACUGGAUUACCGCUUUGUGGGCCUCGUCCUCUUCAAGGGUGCUUCUCAAUGGCGUGCCAGGGGAUCCGAUUAAACUUGGGUAGGGGUUGCGGCAGGGCGAUCCGCCAUCCCCCCUACUCUUUGUCAUCGCCAUUGAUCCCCUACAAUAACUCGUAAUCAGAGGCACGGAUCAUGGCCUCCUCCACCGUCUAAGGGAUUGUACAACCACUAUCCACACUUCUUUGUAUGCUCGCGAAGCCGCGGUUUUUGUCGCUCCAAUCAAGGAGGAUAUUGACCACCUAUCGGUCAUUUUGACUGCUUUGGAGAAGUGACGGGCUUGAUGGCCAAUCUGUUAAACAUCAUGUCGCCCCAUUCGUUGUCGCGACCUUGACCUCGACGCAAUCCUGGAGAACUUUCCGGCAAAAUGAGUCGGCUUCCCAAUGCGGUACCUAGAGCUACCGUUAUCCACUCAUUGUCCCAAGAAGUCAGUCUAUCAAUUCCUGGUGGAUAAGGUGGAGGCCAAGCUUCCGCCAUGGCAAGGAAAAAAUAUCAAAACGGCCGGUCAUACCUCUCUCGUCAAAUCAGUGUUGACAUCCGUGGUUAUCUAUCACAUUUCAACACUAGAUAUACCUCGGACACCAAUGAAAGCAUCACCAAGAUUCAACGUGCCUUCCUAUGGGCUGGAACCGAGCAGGUCUCAAGCGGGAAAUAAAGUGAACUGGAAGACGGUAUGUCGACCUACCAACCUUGGCGGUCUCAGCAUUCUGGACCUCGACAAGUUUGCUAGAGCUCUCGGACUUCAAUGGUUGUGGUUUGCCUAGGUGGACCCAGAGAGAGCUUGGGUCGGUUUAGAAACCCCUUGUAACGAUGAAGACAAGGAGAUUUUCUAUGCGACAACAACUAUCACCAUUGGCGUUGGAUUGACGGCUAGCUUCUGGCACUCGCCAUGCUAAAUGGACAAAAGCCUAAGGACAUCGCACCGGGCAUCUUCGCCCUCUCCAAACGCACCGCUUAUUGCAUUGCCAAGGCUUUAAAUAACAAUGAGUGGGUCUGACACAUCAACAUGCAGGGCGGCCUUUCGAUGACCCUAGUCCAGCGAUUCUAUUCUCUUUGGUGCAAGUCGCGGGAGGUUCAGCUCGUCCCGGGCGAGCGAGACGGGAUUCGAUGGAAAUUCACAGUGGAUGCCUGCUACUCCGCAGCCACGGCUUACAGAAUGCAGUUUGCCGGAUUGAUCAAGUCGGAAAUGCCUAAGAUGGUCCGGAAAAUUUGUCCCCUCCGAAGAUUAAAUUCUUCUCCUGGCUGAGAGCGCAGGUAGAGUCUGGACGGCGGACAGACUGCUUCAUGGGGGUUGGCCAAACUAUUGCCUUUGUCAGCUAUGCAAGAGGGUACCGGAAACUGCGGCCCACAUAAUAUUCAAAUGUCAAUUCACGAUAAGGGUGUGAAACUCCAUCUACAAUUGGCUCGGUUGGCAAUCGGUCACACCUACAUGGAGCGACAUUCACACAAUCAAAAAAUGGUGGAAUGCGAGCGAGGGAGAGCCGGGAUACUCAAGGAAGGCGGUACACUCAUUGCAAAUGCUUUAUGCUGGGAGAUGGAAUGAAAGGAAUGCUCGAGUUUUCCAUAACAAGGCAUCGUUACCCACUCGCGUAGUGGCAUCUGGCAUGGGCUAGAUUUCUGGGCAACAUUCACCAGGAGAGUGCUUCGCUGUUGGACCUGUCCUGUAAUCGUUAAAAAACAUUGUUCUUCUUCUUAUUAUUAUUUAAUGGGAUGAGCCAAAAAAAUUGCCUCCGUUUAAAACAAAACUUGUGCAAUGUAAACACACCGGAACCAACGGUGCUGUCACUGACCUUUACAAAUUGCGUUCGGUUUCCGAGUAUUAGUCAAAGCGCACUAGGACUACGCCCAGCGUUAUCCCCAUCGUCGCAGCUGGGGCUCUAUAAAUACCCACCCUCCUGCCAGAUUGUAAAAGGUCGUGAAACAGAGCAAGCAAGAACAAGAGCAAGAAUAUAUCCAUCCAUACAGCAGCUCAGCCAGCAUAGCUUCCUUUCCUUUCUCCCUGAGGUCCUUCCGUUGCGUUCCAGAAACCAGAAACUUGCAAGCAUGGGCAGAUCUGCUGGAGCUCCUCAGGUCCUCCCGGCGCACCAGAAAGACGAGGACCUGUUCGAGACCUCCUCCUUCUCCUGCGACUCCGACGACGAGGCCCGGUUUUCAGACGGCGAGGACCAGUUUGUGCCGGCUUCCACGCCGCGGAGACUGAAUCCCG
rnacentral:lncRNA from 1 species